GUACCUCACAGUGUCCUUGGAAACUAACGGGGGCGCCCAGGGUGAAAGUGAGAGGGAGCGCUGGGGUGGGAGGUCCUGGGCCCCCGUCGCCCCCAGCGCCAUGUGUGCGCCCGGACAGACCCUCGGCGGGGGCAGCCAGUGGGGGGCCUCGGGCCCCUGACCUGUCAGUCCUGGCUCUGUCAUCUGUGAGCAGGAGCGACAGAAGGGCCUGGGUCAGCGUGCUCAUCUGGACGUGAGAUUGAUAGCACCGUCUCAUGGCGUCGUUUUGAGGUCCGAGUCAUCGUUGUACAGUAUUUAGAUGAGGGCCAGCUGAGCCACAGUUCUCUUCACUUGCCCAGGAGCCACAGAAAGUGAACAUCCCUCAGAUACUGUAAACAGUAUAAUGGAUUUUCUAAUAUGAACUUGAAUUCCUGUAUAGACCCUAGUUGCUAAGUGUGCAGACUCUAAACAUCGGGAGUAGAGGAACAGGCCCUUGCCAUAUUGUGCUCUCUAGCUCUGCACGGCCCCCUGUCAGCACCAAUGGCUACAAGACUAUCCUUUCUCCAUUGAAUUACCUUGGCACCUCUGUGGGAAGUCAACCGGCAAUGCAUCAGUGUCAUUCAAGGACAUGAUUGUGGAGUUCACCAGGAGGAGUGGUGGCAGAUGGACUGCACAGAGGACACUCUGCAGAGAUGUGAUGAUGCUGGAGAACUACAGCCACCUCGUCCCUGUGGGUGAGCAAACCUCACCAUGUGACUCCUUUUAGACUGCAAAUUCUGUUUUUUCUUUUUUAAAUGUCGAUCACUUUUGUUGAGGUGUAUUUAACAGAAAAUAAAACUCAGUACUUUUCAGUGUACAAGUGAGUGAGUUUUGAAAAAUGAUAAAGUAGAUGACCAUCAUCAAAAUCAUGAUUUGGAAUAAUUCCAUCAUCCCAAAAAUAUCCUUGUACCCCUUUGCGGUGAGUCCCCUCCCUCCGUCCUUACCUCUCAGAACCCUCAGAGCCACCACUGGUCUGCUUUCUAUUGCACUAGUUUUGCCUUUUCUAGAUUUUCAUAUAAAUGAAAUCAUGAAGUAUAGAUUGUCUUUUGUCUGGCUUCUUUCACUCAGCACAAUGAUUUUAAGACUUGUGCAUUUGUGUGAAUCACUAGUUUAUUCUUUCUGUCCUGGGCAGUGUUCC
rnacentral:lncRNA from 1 species